rnacentral:sRNA from 1 species
GAACAGAGCUGGUUGUAACAUCUGUCACCCCUUUGGGUGCCAGGAUUGAUCCCACUGAUCUGACAGACGGCAGCGGAUCCCUUCCUCCCUUUUGUCCCAUGUACCUUCUUCCUGUCGUUGGGGGUGUAGCUGUAAAGGGCAACCAGCCUACCUAGAGAAGGACCACCUUUGGUCAAGGGUAUACACCUCUCUGUUUGUCAUUGUAUUGGCAGUCUGUAAUGUUUCUUGACUGAUGAGAUUUUAUGGGCGACAAAAAUGGCUAAUGCUUGUAUGUAACAGUAGAAUU